UACGUAGGGUGCAAGCGUUAAUCGGAAUUACUGGGCGUAAAGCGUGCGCAGGCGGCUUUGCAAGACAGAUGUGAAAUCCCCGGGCUUAACCUGGGAACUGCAUUUGUGACUGCAUGGCUAGAGUGCGGCAGAGGGGGAUGGAAUUCCGCGUGUAGCAGUGAAAUGCGUAGAUAUGCGGAGGAACACCGGUGGCGAAGGCGGCUUCCUGGACCGACACUGACGCUGAGGCGCGAAAGCUAGGGGAGCAAACGGGAUUAGAAC
rnacentral:rRNA from 1 species